UACGUAGGGUGCGAGCGUUAAUCGGAAUUACUGGGCGUAAAGGGUGCGCAGGCGGCGUCGCAAGUCAGGCGUGAAAUCCCCGGGCUUAACCUGGGAAUGGCACUUGAAACUACGAUGCUGGAGUAUGGCAGAGGGAGGUGGAAUUCCACGUGUAGCGGUGAAAUGCGUAGAGAUGUGGAGGAACACCGAUGGCGGAAGGCAGCCUCCGUGGGCCAAUACUGACGCUCAUGCACGAAAGCGUGGGGAGCAAACAGG
rnacentral:rRNA from 1 species